UGGAAGGUCCCUUCCAGUGGUAGCAUUUGGU
rnacentral:piRNA from 1 species